rnacentral:rRNA from 1 species
UUUAANAACCCAUUGGGAUUCCCCUAGUAACUGCGAGUGAAGCGGGAAGAGCUCAAAUUUAAAAUCUGGCGCCCUUGUGGACGUCCGAGUUGUAGUCUGGAGAAGUGUUAUCCGCGUCGGACCGUGCACAAGUCUCCUGGAACGGAGCGUCAUAGAGGGUGAGAAUCCCGUCCAUGGCACGGACGCCCGAUGCUUAUGCGAGGCACUCUCAAAGAGUCGAGUUGUUUGGGAAUGCAGCUCAAAAUGGGUGGUAAAUUCCAUCUAAAGCUAAAUAUUGGCGAGAGACCGAUAGCGAACAAGUACCGUGAGGGAAAGAUGAAAAGCACUUUGGAAAGAGAGUUAAACAGUACGUGAAAUUGUUGAAAGGGAACGCUCGAAGUCAGUCGCGUCCCGUGGAACUCAGCCUGGUUUCGGCCUGGUGUACUUUCCAUUGCGGGACGGGUCAACGUCAAUUUCGGCCGGUGGACAAGGGCGAGGGGAAUGUAGCGUUGCUUCGGCGACGUGUUAUAGCCCCGCGUCGUAUACGCCGGCCGGGAUUGAGGACCGCAGCACGCCCUUGUGGCCGGGGGGGUUCGCGCCCCCCACGUAACGUGCUUAGGAUGUGGCAAANACGGAACUGA